UACGUAGGGGGCAAGCGUUGUCCGGAUUUAUUGGGCGUAAAGGGCUCGUAGGCGGUUUGUCACGUCGGGAGUGAAAACUCGGGGCUUAACCCCGAGCCUGCUUCCGAUACGGGCUGACUAGAGGUAUGCAGGGGAGAACGGAAUUCCUGGUGUAGCGGUGAAAUGCGCAGAUAUCAGGAGGAACACCGGUGGCGAAGGCGGCAUCCUGGACCGGCAUUGACGCUGAGGAGCGAAAGCCAGGGGAGCAAACGGG
rnacentral:rRNA from 1 species